rnacentral:rRNA from 1 species
GAUGAACGCUGGCGGCGUGCCUAAUACAUGCAAGUCGAGCGAAUGGAUUAAGAGCUUGCUCUUAUGAAGUUAGCGGCGGACGGGUGAGUAACACGUGGGUAACCUGCCCAUAAGACUGGGAUAACUCCGGGAAACCGGGGCUAAUACCGGAUAAUAUUUUGAACUGCAUGGUUCAAAAUUGAAAGGCGGCUUCGGCUGUCACUUAUGGAUGGACCCGCGUCGCAUUAGCUAGUUGGUGAGGUAACGGCUCACCAAGGCAACGAUGCUUAGCCGACCUGGGAGGGUGAUCGGCCACACUGGGACUGAGACACGGCCCAGACUCCUACGGGAGGCAGCAGUAGGGAAUCUUCCGCAAUGGACGAAAGUCUGACGGAGCAACGCCGCGUGAGUGAUGAAGGCUUUCGGGUCGUAAAACCCUGUUGUUAGGGAAGAACAAGUGCUAGUUGAAUAAGCUGGCACCUUGACGGUACCUAACCAGAAAGCCACGGCUAACUACGUGCCAGCCGCCGCGGUAA